GUUUCCUUUAGCAAAAGACACAACCUGAUGAGAGCAUUAUGUAAUCUUAAUGCACUUUUGAUAUCUUUGGUAUCUAAGUCAGAACUCAACUCCUAAGAUGCUGGUGAUAGCAGCAUGCUGGAAAAUGUAAAAUUGCCAGCCUGAUUACUUUUUCAUGGGUUGUCCAGACCUCAUGGGUAUUGCUAGAUGAGAAGAAACACACGGGAGGGAAAGAAGGAUGGCUGCCAGCAGUAAAAGAGUCAGUGUUGCUCCUUUCUCUACAGCUAUGACAAAAAGCCGAUGCUCCAUCCAUAAGCAGGAAGAGGUUGGUGGAGGAUUAGGAACACUGACAGAUACCUGGCCUCCAGAAGAGGUUGGAAAUGUCUGAGGAAGAAGAUGGUCUUUGAAUGCAAGUCCUCAAAAAAGGAUCAUGGCUCUGGGAUCUCACAGAGGCAAAGUUACAGCCAGACAACCACUGGCCCAAACAGUGAUAGAGGAGAAAGGUUUGUAGUGCUGGUAACAGGGUUUCCAUGGAAGAUGCAGAGGGGAAAGAAAAAAAACCAAAAUGCUUUGAAGAUGCUGUACACAAUCAUUUAAGUUUCAAGCUGGGACUGAUCUAAAUCUCACACUGAGAAUGAAGGAUGACAGAGUUGCUGUGGGACUGGCAGCCAGCGAUGGACCACCCUAUGAAGACAGUUUUUCAUUAACAUAUUAACUUCACAAUAUGCAGUUUUCAGUCCUGUUGAUGUUGAUGCAUCCUUAUGUUUGUAGCAGCUGCCUAUGCACAGUAUGUAUUAUGGUAGAGGAAUAGUGAAUCAGAGAAUGGUUUCUCAUGAGACUAAGCACGAUGCCUGUCUGGUGGUAGCCAGCUUCUUUACUAAUAAAAAAUUCAAGCCA